UACGGGGGGUGCAAGCGUUGUUCGGAAUUACUGGGCGUAAAGGGUUUGUAGGUGGCCAACUAAGUCAGACGUGAAAUCCCUCAGCUUAACUGGGGAACUGCGUCUGAUACUGGUUGGCUUGAGUGCAGGAGAGGAACGCGGAAUUCCAGGUGUAGCGGUGAAAUGCGUAGAUAUCUGGAGGAACACCGGUGGCGAAGGCGGCGUUCUGGACUGCAACUGACACUGAGAAACGAAAGCCAGGGUAGCAAACGGG
rnacentral:rRNA from 1 species